UGGGGAAUAUUGGACAAUGGGCGAAAGCCUGAUCCAGCCAUGCCGCGUGUGUGAAGAAGGUCUUCGGAUUGUAAAGCACUUUAAGUUGGGAGGAAGGGCAUUAACCUAAUACGUUAGUGUUUUGACGUUACCGACAGAAUAAGCACCGGCUAACUCUGUGCCAGCAGCCGCGGUAAUACAGAGGGUGCAAGCGUUAAUCGGAAUUACUGGGCGUAAAGUGCGCGUAGGUGGUUUGUUAAGUUGGAUGUGAAAUCCCCGGGCUCAACCUGGGAACUGCAUUCAAAACUGACUGACUAGAGUAUGGUAGAGGGUGGUGGAAUUUCCUGUGUAGCGGUGAAAUGCGUAGAUAUAGGAAGGAACACCAGUGGCGAAGGCGACCACCUGGACUAAUACUGACACUGAGGUGCGAAAGCGUGGGGAGCAAACA
rnacentral:rRNA from 1 species